UGCCCUCAGGAGGGGGACAACAGCUGGAAACGGCUGCUAAUACCCCAUAUGCCGCGAGGUGAAAUGAAUUUCGCCUGAGGAUGAGCUCGCGUCUGAUUAGCUAGAUGGUGUAGGUAAUGGCUCACCAAGGCAUCGAUCAGUAGCUGGUCUGAGAGGAUGAUCAGCCACACUGGGACUGAGACACGGCCCAGACUCCUACGGGAGGCAGCAGUGGGGAAUUUUCCGCAAUGGGCGAAAGCCUGACGGAGCAACGCCGCGUGAGGGAUGAAGGCCUCUGGGCUGUAAACCUCUUUUAUCAAGGAAGAAGAUCUGACGGUACUUGAUGAAUAAGCCACGGCUAAUUCCGUGCCAGCAGCCGCGGUAAUACGGGAGUGGCAAGCGUUAUCCGGAAUUAUUGGGCGUAAAGCGUCCGCAGGCGGCCCUUCAAGUCUGCUGUUAAAAGGUGGAGCCUUAACUCCAUCAUGGCAGU
rnacentral:rRNA from 1 species